rnacentral:rRNA from 2 species
GACAACUUUUGACGGUGGAUCUCUUGGCUCACGUAUCGAUGAAGAACGCAGCCAGCUGCGAUAAGUAGUGUGAAUUGCAGAAUUCAGUGAAUCAUCAAAUCUUUGAACGCAAAUGGCGCUCUUGGGUUCUCCCAGGAGCAUGUCUGUCUGAGUGUCGGAUAUUAUCGA